UGUAUGUACAGGCGUUGCGUCGUCAUGGAAACGCCGUUCCGGCACGUCUGACGCAACGACGUCAUGACGAGUUGGUCUUUUUUUGUUUUUGUUGCGCAGCAACCGUGUCCCGUGGCAACCUCUGGGCCGCACAAUGAGCGUUGUGUGAACGAGAUCUAAACGUCUUGCUAUAGUACGAGGAGUGCACUACAUGUGGCGGCACAAGUCUUUAUUUUCCACACCCUAUGUAGGGCGCUUGUGAAGGGAGUACGGAGUUAUUGAGUAUUCCGCCACGGACGGAUUAGCAGACACGGCGACUCGGAUUUCUCUCAUUACAGUUUGUUUCCCUUCACUGGAGCUAAGGGACCCAAACCUGUCCUGGCAUGACAAAGCGAGCUCCAUGAAGACAAAGUGUGCCAAGGUUAGAGUGGAAGAACUUGAAUGUCCUGCACAGAGCCUUGACCUCAACUCCAGUGAGCACGGGAACGCCGACUGCACCCCUGACCUCACUAAUGCUCUCGGGGAUGAAUGAACACAAAUCUCCACAGCAACACUACAAAAUGUAGUGGAUUAUUAUUAUAACAGCAACUCUCAACAGUUGACUCAACAGUCUCUCUCUCUCUCUCUCUAUAUAUAUUUUGAAAGGUUGGGGGUCCAAGGCCCAGCGCUGCCAAGCUGCCACUGUUGAGCCGUUGAGCAAGGCCCUUAGCCCUCUCUGCUCCAGGGGUACUGUAUCCUGGCUGACCCUGUGCUCUGACCCCAACUUCCUGGCAUGCUGGGGUAUGCGAAGAAAAUAAUGUCACUGUGCUGUGACCAAUAAAUACUCAUUAUCAUUAUAUAGGAGAAUGACUUCUAUACAUUCUUCUUUUGUUGAAGGCGUUUUUAAGGGCUGUCUGAAAAAAUAUUUAUAUGAUAUGAACUAUGUAUGAAAAAUUUGGGAAGAUAUUUCACAAUAAAGUGUUAAUUUCCCCUGUAUAUGGA